rnacentral:rRNA from 1 species
AGCGAACGCUGGCGGCAGGCCUAACACAUGCAAGUCGAACGAACUCUUCGGAGUUAGUGGCGGACGGGUGAGUAACACGUGGGAACGUGCCUUUUGGUUCGGAAUAACUCAGGGAAACUUGUGCUAAUACCGAAUGUGCCCUUCGGGGGAAAGAUUUAUCGCCAUUAGAGCGGCCCGCGUCUGAUUAGCUAGUUGGUGAGGUAACGGCUCACCAAGGCGACGAUCAGUAGCUGGUCUGAGAGGAUGACCAGCCACACUGGGACUGAGACACGGCCCAGACUCCUAAGGGAGGCAGCAGUGGGGAAUCCUGCGCCAUUGGCGAAAGGCUGACGCCGCCAUGGCGCGUGAAUUAUUAAGGUUUUAAGAAUGGAAAAUUCUUUCCACCGGGACGGUAAUGACGGUACCCGGAGAAGAAGCCCCGGCUAACUUCGUG